CUCCUGUUUAAAAAUUUUCCAUGACUCCUCACUACCUACUGACUCACGUACAAACUCUUCAGUCUGUCAUUUAAAACCCACUGAGCUGAGAUACAGUAUCUCUACAUAGUGCUACUCACUGCCACUACCAAUUAACUAGAACUGGCACUUACGGUGAAACUAACUUGCCAAUCCUGUAAUAGUCCUUUCACCUAGUUGGCCUUUACUCCAGUUCCUCUUCUUGAAUUUGUUCUCACCAAUUGAGGUUUGCUUCAAAU
rnacentral:lncRNA from 1 species